UUUGUGAUUCAUGACUGGGGUGAAGUCGUAACAAGGUAACCGUAGGGGAACCUGCGGUUGGAUCACCUCCUUACCUGAAAGAAGC
rnacentral:rRNA from 1 species